rnacentral:rRNA from 1 species
UACGGGGGGGGCAAGCGUUGUUCGGAAUUACUGGGCGUAAAGGGCUCGUAGGCGGCCAACUAAGUCAGACGUGAAAUCCCUAGGCUCAACCUAGGAACUGCGUCUGAUACUGGAUGGCUUGAGAUUGGGAGAGGGAUGCGGAAUUCCAGGUGUAGCGGUGAAAUGCGUAGAUAUCUGGAGGAACACCGGUGGCGAAGGCGGCAUCCUGGACCAACACUGACGCUGAGGAGCGAAAGCCAGGGGAGCAAACGGG